AUUGAACGCUGGCGGCAUGCUUUACACAUGCAAGUCGAACGGUAACAGGUUAAGCUGACGAGUGGCGAACGGGUGAGUAAUGCAUCGGAACGUGCCCGAUCGUGGGGGAUAACGCAGCGAAAGCUGCGCUAAUACCGCAUACGAUCUGAGGAUGAAAGCGGGGGACCGUAAGGCCUCGCGCGAUCGGAGCGGCCGAUGUCAGAUUAGGUAGUUGGUGGGGUAAAGGCCCACCAAGCCGACGAUCUGUAGCUGGUCUGAGAGGACGACCAGCCACACUGGGACUGGGACACGGCCCAGACUCCUACGGGAGGCAGCAGUGGGGAAUUUUGGACAAUGGGCGAAAGCCUGAUCCAGCAAUGCCGCGUGCAGGAAGAAGGCCUUCGGGUUGUAAACUGCUUUUGUACGGAGCGAAAAGGUCCUUUCUAAUACAAGGGGCUCAUGACGGUACCGUAAGAAUAAGCACCGGCUAACUACGUGCCAGCCGCCGCCGCAG
rnacentral:rRNA from 1 species